rnacentral:rRNA from 1 species
AGAGUUUGAUCCUGGCUCAGGAUGAACGCUGGCGGCGUGCUUAACACAUGCAAGUCGAACGCACCUUCGGGUGAGUGGCGGACGGGUGAGUAACGCGUGGGAAUCUGCCCUCAGGAGGGGGAUAACGGCUGGAAACGGCCGCUAAUACCCCAUAUGCCGAAAGGUGAAAUGAAUUUCGCCUGAGGAUGAGCCCGCGUCUGAUUAGCUAGUUGGUGGGGUAAUGGCCCACCAAGGCGACGAUCAGUAGCUGGUCUGAGAGGAUGAUCAGCCACACUGGGACUGAGACACGACCCAGACCCCUACGGGAGGCAGCAGUGGGGAAUUUUCCGCAAUGGGCGAAAGCCUGACGGAGCAACGCCGCGUGAGGGAUGAAGGCCUCUGGGCUGUAAACCUCUUUUCUCAAGGAAGAAGACAUGACGGUACUUGAGGAAUAAGCCACGGCUAAUUCCGCGCCAGCAGCCGCGGUAAUACGGGAGUGGCAAGCGUUAUCCGGAAUUAUUGGGCGUAAAGCGUCCGCAGGCGGCCUUGUAAGUCUGUCGUUAAAGCGUGGAGCUUAACUCCAUUUAAGCGAUGGAAACUACAAGGCUUGAGUGUGGUAGGGGCAGAGGGAAUUCCCGGUGUAGCGGUGAAAUGCGUAGAUAUCUGGAAGAACACCAGUGGCGAAGGCGCUCUGCUGGGCCAUAACUGACGCUCAUGGACGAAAGCCAGGGGAGCGAAAGGGAUUAGAUACCCCUGUAGUCCUGGCCGUAAACGAUGAACACUAGGUGUCGGGGGAAUCGACCCCCUCGGUGUCGUAGCUAACGCGUUAAGUGUUCCGCCUGGGGAGUACGCACGCAAGUGUGAAACUCAAAGGAAUUGACGGGGGCCCGCACAAGCGGUGGAGUAUGUGGUUUAAUUCGAUGCAACGCGAAGAACCCUACCAGGGUUUGACAUCCUGCGAAUCCCUUGGAAACUUGGGAGUGCCUUCGGGAGCGCAGAGACAGGUGGUGCAUGGCUGUCGUCAGCUCGUGUCGUGAGAUGUUGGGUUAAGUCCCGCAACGAGCGCAACCCACGUCUUUAGUUGCCAGCAUUCAGUUGGGCACUCUAGAGAGACCGCCGGUGAUAAACCGGAGGAAGGUGUGGAUGACGUCAAGUCAUCAUGCCCCUUACAUCCUGGGCUACACACGUACUACAAUGCUACGGACAAAGGGCAGCAAGCUCGCGAGAGUUAGCAAAUCCCAUAAACCGUGGCUCAGUUCAGAUCGUAGGCUGCAACUCGCCUACGUGAAGGAGGAAUCGCUAGUAAUCGCAGGUCAGCAUACUGCGGUGAAUACGUUCCCGGGCCUUGUACACACCGCCCGUCACACCAUGGAAGUUGGCCAUGCCCGAAGUCGUUACUCCAACCCUUGUGGAGGAGGACGCCGAAGGUGGGGCUGAUGACUGGGGUGAAGUCG